rnacentral:rRNA from 1 species
UACGAAUGGAGCAAGCGUUGUUCGGAAUCACUGGGCUUAAAGCGUGCGCAGGCGGAUUUGCAAGUCAGAAGUGAAAUCCCAGGGCUCAACCUUGGAACUGCUUUUGAAACUGCAAGUCUAGAAUACUGGAGAGGUUGGGAGAAUUCCUAGUGUAGAGGUGAAAUUCGCAGAUAUUAGGAGGAAUACCAGUGGCGUAGGCGCCCAACUGGACAGUUAUUGACGCUCAGGCACGAAAGCGUGGGGAGCAAACAGAAUUAGAUACUCUGGUAGUCCACGCUGUAAACGAUGUGUGCUAGUUGUCGGGCCCUUAGGGUUCGGUGACGCAGCGAAAGUCUUAAGCACACCGCCUGGGGAGUACGGUCGCAAGAUUAAA